GUCCACGCCCUAAACGAUGUCAACUGGUUGUCGGGGAAGCAAUUCCUUGGUAACGAAGCUAACGCGUGAAGUUGACCGCCUGGGGAGUACGGCCGCAAGGUUAAAACUCAAAGGAAUUGACGGGGACCCGCACAAGCGGUGGAUUAUGUGGAUUAAUUCGAUGCAACGCGAAAAACCUUACCUACCCUUGACAUGUACGGAACCUCGCAGAGAUGUGAGGGUGCCCGAAAGGGAGUCGUAACACAGGUGCUGCAUGGCUGUCGU
rnacentral:rRNA from 1 species